rnacentral:rRNA from 1 species
CACGUAGGGCGCAAGCGUUGUCCGGAAUUAUUGGGCGUAAAGAGCUCGUAGGCGGUCUGUUACGUCUGCUGUGAAAACCCAGGGCUUAACCCUGGGCUUGCAGUGGAUACGGGCAGACUAGAGUUCGGUAGGGGAGACUGGAAUUCCUGGUGUAGCGGUGAAAUGCGCAGAUAUCAGGAGGAACACCGGUGGCGAAGGCGGGUCUCUGGGCCGAUACUGACGCUGAGGAGCGAAAGCGUGGGGAGCGAACAGG